rnacentral:rRNA from 1 species
GUGGGGAAUAUUGGACAAUGGGCGCAAGCCUGAUCCAGCAAUGCCGCGUGGGUGAAGAAGGUCUUCGGAUCGUAAAGCCCUUUCGACAGGGACGAUGAUGACGGUACCUGUAGAAGAAGCCCCGGCUAACUUCGUGCCAGCAGCCGCGGUAAUACGAAGGGGGCUAGCGUUACUCGGAAUUACUGGGCGUAAAGGGCGCGUAGGCGGCUCUGUUAGUCAGGCGUGAAAUUCCUGGGCUUAACCUGGGGACUGCGCUUGAUACUGCAGGGCUUGAGGCCGAGAGAGGGUGGUGGAAGUCCCAGUGUAGAGGUGAAAUUCGUAGAUAUUGGGAAGAACACCGGUGGCGAAGGCGACCACCUGGCUCGGUUCUGACGCUGAGGCGCGACAGCGUGGGGAGCAAACAGGAUUAGAUACCCCGGUAGUCC